rnacentral:rRNA from 1 species
GACGAAGGUGGCAAGCGUUACUCGGAAUUACUAGGUGUAAAGCGUGGGCAGGUGGUUGGAUAAGUCUGUUGUGAAAGCUCCUGGCUUAACCGGGAGAGGUCAAUGGAUACUGUCUGACUUGAAUAUGGGAGAGGUGACUGGAAUUCCCGGUGUAGCGGUGAAAUGCGUAGAUAUCGGGAGGAAUAUCGAUGGCGAAAGCAGGUCACUGGACCAUUAUUGACACUCAUCCACGAAAGCUGGGGGAUCAAACAGG